rnacentral:rRNA from 1 species
GCACCACAAGGCGUGAAGCUUGCGGUUCAAUUGGAGUCAACGCCGGGAACCUUACCGGGGGCGACAGCAGGAUGAUGGCCAGAUUGAAGGUCUUGCUUGACAAGCUGAGAGGAGGUGCAUGGCCGUCGCCAGUUCGUGCCGUGAGGUGUCCUGUUAAGUCAGGCAACGAUCGAGACCCGCGCUUCUAGUUGCUACUGAGGAAGUUUUCCGAGGGGCACUCUAGAGGGACUGCCGUCGACAAGACGGAUGAAGGAGCGGGCUACGGCGGGUCAGUAUGCCCCGAAUCCCCCGGGCUACACGCGAGCUGCAAUGGCAGGGACAAUGGGUUCCGACCCUGAAAAGGGAAGGCAAUCCCUAAACCCUGCCUCAGUUUGGAUCGAAGGCUGGAACCCGCCUUCGUGAAAAUGGAAUGCCUAGUAAUCGCGUGUCAUCAUCGCGCGGUGAAUACGUCCCCGCUCCUUGCACACACCGCCCGUCGCUCCAUCCGAGUGGGGUUUGGGUGAGGCGUGGUCUUCUUGGCUGCGUCGAAUCUGAGUUCCGCAAGGAGGGAG